rnacentral:rRNA from 1 species
GAUUGAACGCUGGCGGCAUGCUUUACCCUUUCAAGUCGAACGGCAGCGCGGGGCAACCUGGCGGCGAGUGGCGAACGGGUGAGUAAUACAUCGGAACGUACCCAGAAGUGGGGGAUAACGUAGCGAAAGUUACGCUAAUACCGCAUACGUUCUACGGAAGAAAGCGGGGGAUCUUCGGACCUCGUGCUUUUGGAGCGGCCGAUGUCUGAUUAGCUAGUUGGUGAGGUAAAGGCUCACCAAGGCGACGAUCAGUAGCUGGUCUGAGAGGACGACCAGCCACACUGGGACUGAGACACGGCCCAGACUCCUACGGGAGGCAGCAGUGGGGAAUUUUGGACAAUGGGCGCAAGCCUGAUCCAGCAAUGCCGCGUGAGUGAAGAAGGCCUUCGGGUUGUAAAGCUCUUUUGUCAGGGAAGAAACGGCUGGGGCUAAUAUCCCCGGCUAAUGACGGUACCUGAAGAAUAAGCACCGGCUAACUACGUGCCAGCAGCCGCGGUAAUACGUAGGGUGCAAGCGUUAAUCGGAAUUACUGGGCGUAAAGCGUGCGCAGGCGGUUUUGUAAGUCUGACGUGAAAUCCCCGGGCUCAACCUGGGAAUUGCGUUGGAGACUGCAAGGCUGGAGUCUGGCAGAGGGGGGUAGAAUUCCACGUGUAGCAGUGAAAUGCGUAGAGAUGUGGAGGAACACCGAUGGCGAAGGCAGCCCCCUGGGUCAAGACUGACGCUCAUGCACGAAAGCGUGGGGAGCAAACAGGAUUAGAUACCCUGGUAGUCCACGCCCUAAACGAUGUCUACUAGUUGUCGGGUCUUAAUUGACUUGGUAACGCAGCUAACGCGUGAAGUAGACCGCCUGGGGAGUACGGUCGCAAGAUUAAAACUCAAAGGAAUUGACGGGGACCCGCACAAGCGGUGGAUGAUGUGGAUUAAUUCGAUGCAACGCGAAAAACCUUACCUACCCUUGACAUGUCAGGAACCUCCAAGAGAUCGGAGGGUGCCCGAAAGGGAGCCUGAACACAGGUGCUGCAUGGCUGUCGUCAGC